ACAUGGCUUGAGCAUUUACAAUCUUUUUGUCUAUGAAUAGGAAAUUUUUCCAUGCCCUUGGGACUGCAUCACAUCUGUGCAAGAAGACAUUAGGAAAUGAACUUAUAUAGAAAAGCUUACAGUCUUGCUCUAGAAAGCAUGAAAUUACCUUUGGAGAGGCUAUGUAGACCGACCUGUCAUGGAUCCACGUGAUGGUCAUGGAUCCACGUGAUCAAGCCAAGACUUUCUUAUUCCUGAAGGUUGCAGGAUCAACUUCAAAAUAUUAUUAGACAUGAGAGAAUCUACACAGGUGUCAUAAGCGUCUCUGUUCCCAGRACUACCUAUGAAGAUAAUUAAAAGACCUCAGACACCAGCUCACCCCUGGUUCACAUUUACAGUUGCCAUUUCUAUCAGUGGAGAAGAAGCUGGAAAAGCUGUUGGAUUUGAAUGGCAGGGAUGUUGCUUUCACUUUGCUGUGUUGUGGGUGAUGACACAGAGAUCACAGAAUCGCAGAAUGGUGGAGAUUGGAAGGCAUCUCUGGAUAUCAUCCAACCCAACCCCUCUGCAUAAGCAGGGUCAUCUAGAGCAUGUUG